UUGAUCUACAUAUUUUUAAAAAGUGCUUGACAAUCGGUAGUUGGUGAAAAAACUGUAUCAGUGUAAAUUUUGUGAAUUCCGUAACUCGGAGAUUUUUCCAUAAGCACUGAUUCAUACUUGACAGACGUCGAAGGUGCCUGGUUCUUCCAAAUACGGUUCAACUCUGAAUUACUAUCCCAACGUUGUGCUGAAAAAUUCGUAUAAGGCUCUCAAUUUGUCGUCACAGUGCCUUGAUCGUCGCAGUACCUCUUCAACUUCCAACCACGAAGGGCAGGACUUCCAUGGCAUCGCACAAUUCGUUGACAGGUACUCGGAGAUGCUGCCGCCGCAGUUAUGACCCCCUGGACUUCCCCUGUUCAUCAGGGGGAGUCCAG
rnacentral:lncRNA from 1 species